GAUGAACGCUGGCGGCGUGCCUAAUACAUGCAAGUCGAGCGAAGCGGGGACGGGUGAGUAACACGUGGAUAACCUCCUAUAAGACUGGGAUAACCUCGGGAAACCGGAGCUAAACCGGAUAAUUAUAGCUGGAUCCGCGCUGCAUUAGCUAGUGGGUAAGGUAACGGCUUACCAAGGCAACGAUGCAUAGCCGACCUGAGAGGAUGAUCGGCCACACUGGAACUGAGACACGGUCCAGACUCCUACGGGAGGCAGCAGUUGGGAAUCUUGCGCAAUGGGCGAAAGCCUGACGGAUCCACGCCGCGUGAGUGAUGAAGGUCUUCGGGUUGUAAAACUCUUUUAUUAGGGAAGCGUUACCUAAUCAGAAAGCAACGGCUAACUCCGUGCCAGCCGCCGCGGUAAUAC
rnacentral:rRNA from 1 species